AGGUCUGACAGUCUAUCUUCCUAUGCUACUGUAAACCUUGGAACAUAGUCUAUCGGACCUGG
ensembl:miRNA mdo-mir-7385b mdo-mir-7385b